rnacentral:rRNA from 1 species
AGUGAACGCUGGCGGUAGGCCUAACACAUGCAAGUCGAACGGCAGCACAGUAAGAGCUUGCUCUUACGGGUGGCGAGUGGCGGACGGGUGAGGAAUACAUCGGAAUCUACUUUUUCGUGGGGGAUAACGUAGGGAAACUUACGCUAAUACCGCAUACUACCUACGGGUGAAAGCAGGGGAUCUUCGGACCUUGCGCGAUUGAAUGAGCCGAUGUCGGAUUAGCUAGUUGGCGUGGUAAAGGCCCACCAAGGCGACGAUCCGUAGCUGGUCUGAGAGGAUGAUCAGCCACACUGGAACUGAGACACGGUCCAGACUCCUACGGGAGGCAGCAGUGGGGAAUAUUGGACAAAGGGCGCAAGCCUGAUCCAGCCAUACCGCGUGGGUGAAGAAGGCCUUCGGGUUGUAAAGCCCUUUUGUUGGGAAAGAAAAGCAGCAGGUUAAUACCCCGCUGUUCUGACGGUACCCAAAGAAUAAGCACCGGCUAACUUCGUG